ACAGAGUGAAUUCUGUCAGCUGAGGGGCAGUGUCCAGGGUCUUCCUGUCCUCCACACUCCAGUGGUACUAGUACUAGAAGAUAGGAUUUCUCUGUGUAGCCCUGGCUAUCCUGGAAUUCACCUUGCAGACCAGGCUGGCCUUGAACUCACAGAUCCACCGGCCUCUGCCUCCUGAGUUCUGGGACUAAAGAGUGACAAGAGAAGAACAUCUGUGUGCUUGCCUGCCAGCUAAAGGAAUACAAAGCCAAGCGGUAGGCUCACCUUGUGAUCCCAGAACUCCAGAAGCUGAGGCAAGAGGCCCACAGGCCGGCAGCCUGGCUGCACAGAGACUCUACCGAAGAACAAUUAUUCAAACAAAUUCAAAAGAAAAAAUUCCAGUUCCAUCAGAUGUCCCCUGGUACACCCAAGCACACCCCCUUCUUUCCUUUUCCGGGGGUGACUACAAUUGUGUGCAGCAUUCUCUUGCUUUAUAAAAAAAAUGUUUGUA
ensembl:antisense Gm15904 predicted gene 15904